rnacentral:lncRNA from 1 species
GAGCUUUCCUUUCCUAUGCCUCCUUCACCAUGUUCUUUAUCACCAACCUUCAAUUCGUUCUUGUGCAUCUGUGGGUGAUAAAUACUAUUCCGUUGUUGCUUCAAGUUAAUGAUUCCAGCUUGUAUGAGUGAGGUUCUUUCUCUUGUACUUCAUGUGUUCACCAUCUGACUAAGCUCUAAUUCCUUCCUCUUCUCUUAUAUUCCAAGUGAAAUCUUUAGUAUAUUUCCAUAAUUUUUGCUGCUAACACACUGGUCUCAUCUUUUGAUCCUUGAUUCCUCCAUCUUGUAAGUGCUCUGUCUUUAUAAUCUUUACUCUUUGACAUAUAUGUUAAUGUUGACCCUCUUCAUUCUCUUCCUAUAUAGCUAUAGCUGGGAUGGAGAUAAUGGAAUGAUCAAACCCAUUGAUAGCUAAAGAGGACCAUGGAACUCAGUCAUUGAAUCUGAUCUGACUUAGUGACCCCCAACUUACUGAAAAUCCUUUUUUGUUGGCUGGUGUAAAUAGGUAGGAUAGCAUUUUAACCUUUUUGUUGAACUUUCCUACUUGUAAAUGUGGUGAAUGUGAAAGAAACUAUUCCUGCCUUUCCAGUCCUAUUAAACCUUUUGCUAAGCUUAGUCUCAGAUAGGGACAUUGGUCCUUGUCGCUGUUUACUAUCUUUUUACCAGCACUUUUUAGCUGGUUAAAUGCUGUAAAUAUGAGCUCUUCAUGAUUAAAUGAUAAGUUAGCUAAGUAAUCCAUAAAUUGAUUGCCUUCCCUGAAUAUAUGAAC